rnacentral:lncRNA from 1 species
UGAAAUUGAAGAUGAUUGAGAGAGUUGGAUAGAAUGGAUAGACUUGAUAGUUACUGGAUGAAAUCAUACUAACUUUCAAGUGGAGGGAGAAGAGUCUUUGUAGUUGUUUCUCGUGUUGAAGAUGAAGACCUUAUCAAUCGUUUGAUUCGAAUUGCACUAAACUCUAUGAAUGGAGGUGAAUACGAUGAGUGCUGGGUCAUACGUCCCAUACCCAAAGAUACUC